rnacentral:rRNA from 1 species
AGGACGAACGCUGGCGGCGUGCUUAACACAUGCAAGUCGAGCGAAGUCCAACAGGUGGCAACACCGGGGAAGGCUUAGCGGCGAACGGGUGAGUAACACGUGAGCAACCUGUCCCGAAGACUGGGAUAACACCGGGAAACCGGUGCUAAUACCGGAUACCCCCAUCGGACCGCAUGAUCUGAUGAGGAAAUGAAUUUCGCUUCGGGAGGGGCUCGCGGGCUAUCAGCUUGUUGGUGGGGUAACGGCCUACCAAGGCGACGACGGCUAGCUGGUCUGAGAGGACGACCAGCCACACUGGGACUGAGACACGGCCCAGACUCCUACGGGAGGCAGCAGUGGGGGAAUCUUGCGCAAUGGGCGAAAGCCUGACGCAGCAACGCCGCGUGGGGGAUGAAUGCCUUCGGGUUGUAAACUCCUUUCAGCAGGGACGAAGUGAAAUGACGGUACCUGCAGAAGAAGCACCGGCUAACUACGUGCCAGCAGCCGC